UGGGGAAUUUUGGACAAUGGGCGCAAGCCUGAUCCAGCCAUGCCGCGUGCGGGAAGAAGGCCUUCGGGUUGUAAACCGCUUUUGUCAGGGAAGAAAUCUUCUGAGUUAAUACCUCGGGAGGAUGACGGUACCUGAAGAAUAAGCACCGGCUAACUACGUGCCAGCAGCCGCGGUAAUACGUAGGGUGCAAGCGUUAAUCGGAAUUACUGGGCGUAAAGCGUGCGCAGGCGGUUUUGUAAGACAGAGGUGAAAUCCCCGGGCUCAACCUGGGAACUGCCUUUGUGACUGCAAGGCUUGAGUGCGGCAGAGGGGGGAUGGAAUUCCGCGUGUAGCAGUGAAAUGCGUAGAUAUGCGGAGGAACACCGAUGGCGAAGGCAAUCCCCUGGGCCUGCACUGACGCUCAUGCACGAAAGCGUGGGGAGCAAACAGGAUUAGAUACCCUGGUAGUCCACGCCCUAAACGAUGUCAACUGGUUGUUGGGAAGGUUCCUUCUCAGUAACGUAGCUAACGCGUGAAGUUGACCGCCUGGGGAGUACGGCCGCAAGGUUGAAACUUAAAUGAAUUGACGGGGU
rnacentral:rRNA from 1 species